CAAAACUUUUAUACUAAUUUGACUAUGUCAUUUUUUUUCUAUUGAAAUUGAUAAUAAAAUUUGAGGGGCUUUUAAUUUGUAUGUCGUUUUUGAAUUUUAUUUUUCGAAGUAAUUCCUUUUUAGUCUAUUUUAUGAAGGCAGCAGUCAGUAACAGGUUGAAAACAAAGUAAAGUCCUUCACUGCAUAUUUGAGAAGUGCUGUUCUAGGAUACAGUGUUGUCCUAGAGAAGUCCUUUGUCAGUCCUUGCUAUUUUCACUCAGCCAGUUGCUUCCUUAUUCUUCUUCAUCUGAACAUUGAUUUUAAGAAAGGAGGAUGCCGAGAAGCCACUUGAUCAGGGGAGCCUGUUGCAUCGCAGCGUUUUCAGAGCACCUCCAGGACUGGCCGCACCUGAUGGACGCAGGCGACCGGAGGAAGGUCCAGAGCCCGGAGUGUCCAGAUCUCUAUAAGAAUCAUGAUGUUUCCUAGGCAACACAUGGCUUGGGGAAAUUGGAGAGAAUACUCUCGAUGCAAAAGGAUAACAUCACAGCUACCACAACAAUGCUAUCCAGCACGCAGAUGUCGGGUGUUCAGAGGGACCGAGUCAUCUCGAUUAGAAUCUAAGCGGCCUGAGUUUCACAGUGGAAUAGCCAUGCUCAUGUUCAGUAAAUUUGCAAACCCUCCUAUCGUGCAGUGGAGAAGGGAACAUGCUUGAAACAACGCACGGGACUUGGCUCCUGGGCUCAGCCGGGUGUGGGGAUGAUUGUCAGGGAGCAUUUCGUUACCUUGCCAGGAUGCAGUAGAUGCUUUUGAAUCUCUUUUCUAUUGUACACGUCUAUUGGGAACACAAGUUUCUUUUUCUUUUCCACCCAUAGUUUUAGGAAGCUUUUCAAAUUGCCAGACUGUUUCUCCUGAAAUGACA
rnacentral:lncRNA from 1 species